rnacentral:rRNA from 1 species
UUCAGGGAGGUAGUGACAAUAAAUACCUUACAGAGGUCUCGUUAACCGAGAUCUCUCAAACGGAAUGAGUACAACGUGAAUCCUUUAACGAGGAUCGACUGGAGGGCAAGCCUGGUGCCAGCAGCCGCGGUAAUUCCAGCUCCAGUAGCGUAUAUUAAAGCUGUUGCGGUUAAAAAGCUCGUAGUUGGAUAUCAGUGCGUGUCCGGUCCGGUAUGCCUGGCGGCGUCGCUCGCGCGGCACUGCUGGGCUCCCAAAUAUCGGCUGGCCGCAUUCAAUCGUGCCGGAUCCGUCGACGGGCCGUUCUUCGGAGGGGCCUGUUGGCGACCGGCGACGUUACCUUGAACAAAUUAGAGUGCUCAAAGCAGGCUCUGAAUGCCUGUAUACAUAUUCAUGGAAUUGGAGAAUACGUCCCUGGCUCGAUUUGGUUGGUUUUGAGAGUCGAAGGGAAAUGAUUAAUAGGGACUGACGGAGGCAUUCGUAUUGCGACGCGAGGGGUGAAAUCCUGUGACCGUCGCACGACGAACUACUGCGAAAGCAUUUGCCGAGAAUGUUUUCAUUAGUCAAGAACGAAAGUUAGAGGUUCGAAGGCGAUCAGAUACCGCCCUAGUUCUAACCGUAAACGAUGUCGACCAGCAAUCCGCAACGGUCACUACACGGACUGUGCGGGCAGCUUCCCCGGGGAAACCAGAGUUUUUGGACUCCGGGGGAAGUAUGGUUGCAAAGCUGAAACUUAAAGGAAUUGACGGAAGGGCACCACCAGGAGUGGAGCUUGCGGCUUAAUUUGACUCAACACGGGACAACUCACCAGGCCCGGACACCGUAAGGAUUGACAGACUGAUAGCUCUCUCUUGAUUCAGUGGGUGGUGGUGCAUGGCCGUUCUUAGUUGGUGGAGUGAUUUGUCUGGUUUAUUCCGAUAACGAACGAGACUCUGGCCUAUUAAACUUGACACUGUCAGUCUCUUGUGACUGCGGUGCGCUUCUUA